rnacentral:precursor_RNA from 12 species
UCCAUCAUGGGGAAUAUCAGACCUAUGGAAAAGGUCCAACUUCACAUGGCCUGUAUGUCAUAAAGAGGGUUGUGUAUGGUUGGGCCCAUCCCACAGGCCCUGUAUUCUUACACAUGUAGA